rnacentral:rRNA from 1 species
AGAGUUUGAUCCUGGCUCAGAGUGAACGCUGGCGGCAGGCCUAACACAUGCAAGUCGAACGGCAGCACAGCAGUAGCAAUACUGUGGGUGGCGAGUGGCGGACGGGUGAGGAAUGCGUCGGAAUCUGCCUUUUUGUGGGGGAUAACGUAGGGAAACUUACGCUAAUACCGCAUACGACCUACGGGUGAAAGUGGGGGACCUUCGGGCCUCACGCAGAAAGAUGAGCCGACGCCGGAUUAGCUAGUUGGCGGGGUAAAGGCCCACCAAGGCGACGAUCCGUAGCUGGUCUGAGAGGAUGAUCAGCCACACUGGGACUGAGACACGGCCCAGACUCCUACGGGAGGCAGCAGUGGGGAAUAUUGGACAAUGGGCGCAAGCCUGAUCCAGCCUUGCCGCGUGUGUGAAGAAGGCCUUCGGGUUGUAAAGCACUUUUGUCCGGAAAAAAAAGCUUCGGGUUAAUAACCUGGAGUCAUGACGUACCGA